CCUACGGGUGGCAGCAGUGAGGAAUAUUGGUCAAUGGACGAGAGUCUGAACCAGCCAAGUAGCGUGAAGGAUGACUGCCCUAUGGGUUGUAAACUUCUUUUAUAUGGGAAUAAAAUGUUCCACGUGUGGGUUUUUGUAUGUACCAUAUGAAUAAGCAUCGGCUAACUCCGUGCCAGCAGCCGCGGUAAUACGGAGGAUCCGAGCGUUAUCCGGAUUUAUUGGGUUUAAAGGGAGCGUAGGUGGGUUGUUAAGUCAGUUGUGAAAGUUUGCGGCUCAACCGUAAAAUUGCAGUUGAAACUGGCAGACUUGAGUACAGUAGAGGUGUGCGGAAUGCGUGGUGUAGCGGUGAAAUGCUUAGAUAUCACGAAGAACUCCGAUUGCGAAGGCAGCUCACUGGACUGCAACUGACACUGAGGCUCGAAAGUGUGGGUAUCAAACAGGAUUAGAUACCCUAGUAGUC
rnacentral:rRNA from 1 species